rnacentral:rRNA from 1 species
GACGAACGCUUGCGGCGUGCCUAAUAAAUGCAAGUCGAACGCAGUGGGGACGGGUGAGUAACACGUGGGUAACCUCCCAUCAGAGGGGAUAACACUUGGAAACAGGUGCUAAACCGAUACUGAUGGAUGGACCCGCGGUGCAUUAGCUAGUUGGUGAGGUAACGGCUCACCAAGGCCACGAUGCAUAGACGACCUGAGAGGAUGAACGGCCACAAGAGAACUGAGACACGGCCCAGACUCCUACGGGGUGCAGAAAUAGGAAAUCUUCGGCAAUGGACGAAAGUCUAACCGAGCAACGCCGCGUAAGCGAAGAAGGAUUUCGAGUCGUAAAACACUGUUGUUAAGAAAGCGGUAUCUAACCAGAAAGCCACGGCAAACUACGUACCAGCAGCCGCGGUAAUAC